rnacentral:rRNA from 1 species
CGCCGCGGUUAUACGAGGGGCUCAAGUUGAUAACUCCCGGCGUAAAGAGUGGUUAAGAGAAACAACACUAAGGCCGAACAUCUUCAUAGCUGUCAUACGCACCCGAAGAAAUGAAGCACUAUCACGAAAGUGGCUUUAAUAUUUCUGAACCCACGAAAGCUAGGAUA